CAGGUCUUGACAUCCUCUGACAAUCCUAGAGAUAGGACGUCCCCUUCGGGGGCAGAGAGACAGGUGGUGCAUGNUUGUCGUCAGCUCGUGUCGUGNGAUGUUGGGUUAAGUCCCGCAACGAGCGCAACCCUUGAUCUUAGUUGCCAGCAUUCAGUUGGGCGCUNUAAGGUGNCUGCCGGUGGCAAACCGGAGGAAGGUGGGGAUGACGUCAAAUCAUCAUGCCCCUUAUGNCCUGGGCUACACACGUGCUACAANGGACAGAACANAGGGCAGCGAAACCGCGAGGUUAAGCCAAUCCCACAAAUCUGUUCUCAGUUCGGAUCGCAGUCUGCNACUCGACUGCGUGAAGCUGGAAUCGCUAGUAAUCGCGGAUCAGCAUGCCGCGGUGAAUACGUUCCCGGGCCUUGUACACACCGCCCGUCACACCACGAGAGUUUGUAACACCCGAAGUCGGUGAGGUAACCUUUUAGGAGCCAGCCGCCGAAGGUG
rnacentral:rRNA from 1 species